ensembl:misc_RNA Metazoa_SRP Metazoan signal recognition particle RNA
GCUGGGCAUGGUGGUGCAUUCCUGUAAUCCAGCUACUCAGGAGGCUGAGGCAGGAGGAUCACCUGAGCCCAGGAGUUCGUGGCUGCAGUGAGCUAUGAUCUUGCCACUGCACUCCAGCAUGGGUGACAAAGUGAGACCCUGUUUCUA